CGCGUAGGCGGUUUGCUAAGUCAGAUGUGAAAGCCCCGGGCUCAACCUGGGAAUUGCGUUUGAGACUGGCAGGCUAGAAUGUGGUAGAGGUGAGUGGAAUUCCAGGUGUAGCGGUGAAAUGCGUAGAGAUCUGGAGGAACAUCAGUGGCGAAGGCGACUCACUGAGCCAUUAUUGACGCUGAGGUGCGAAAGCGUGGGUAGCAAACA
rnacentral:rRNA from 1 species